GACGAACGCUGGCGGCGUGCUUAACACAUGCAAGUCGAACGGAAAGGCCCUGCUUUUGUGGGGUGCUCGAGUGGCGAACGGGUGAGUAACACGUGAGUAACCUGCCCUUGACUUUGGGAUAACUUCAGGAAACUGGGGCUAAUACCGGAUAGGAGCUCCUGCUGCAUGGUGGGGGUUGGAAAGUUUCGGCGGUUGGGGAUGGACUCGCGGCUUAUCAGCUUGUUGGUGGGGUAGUGGCUUACCAAGGCUUUGACGGGUAGCCGGCCUGAGAGGGUGACCGGCCACAUUGGGACUGAGAUACGGCCCAGACUCCUACGGGAGGCAGCAGUGGGGAAUAUUGCACAAUGGGCGGAAGCCUGAUGCAGCAACGCCGCGUGCGGGAUGACGGCCUUCGGGUUGUAAACCGCUUUCGCCUGUGACGAAGCGUGAGUGACGGUAAUGGGUAAAGAAGCACCGGCUAACUACGUGCCAGCAGCCGCGGUGAUACGUAGGGUGCGAGCGUUGUCCGGAUUUAUUGGGCGUAAAGGGCUCGUAGGUGGUUGAUCGCGUCGGAAGUGUAAUCUUGGGGCUUAACCCUGAGCGUGCUUUCGAUACGGGUUGACUUGAGGAAGGUAGGGGAGAAUGGAAUUCCUGGUGGAGCGGUGGAAUGCGCAGAUAUCAGGAGGAACACCAGUGGCGAAGGCGGUUCUCUGGGCCUUUCCUGACGCUGAGGAGCGAAAGCGUGGGGAGCGAACAGGCUUAGAUACCCUGGUAGUCCACGCUGUAAACGGUGGGUACUAGGUGUGGGGUCCAUUCCACGGGUUCCGUGCCGUAGCUAACGCUUUAAGUACCCCGCCUGGGGAGUACGGCCGCAAGGCUAAAACUCAAAGGAAUUGACGGGGCCCCGCACAAGCGGCGGAGCAUGCGGAUUAAUUCGAUGCAACGCGUAGAACCUUACCUGGGUUUGACAUGGAUCGGGAGUACUCAGAGAUGGGUGUGCCUCUUUUGGGGUCGGUUCACAGGUGGUGCAUGGCUGUCGUCAGCUCGUGUCGUGAGAUGUUGGGUUAAGUCCCGCAACGAGCGCAGCCCUUGUUCACUGUUGCCAGCACGUUAUGGUGGGGACUCAGUGGAGACCGCCGGGGUCAACUCGGAGGAAGGUGGGGAUGACGUCAAGUCAUCAUGCCCCUUAUGUCCAGGGCUUCACGCAUGCUACAAUGGCUGGUACAGAGAGUGGCGAGCCUGUGAGGGUGAGCGAAUCUCGGAAAGCCGGUCUCAGUUCGGAUUGGGGUCUGCAACUCGACCUCAUGAAGUCGGAGUCGCUAGUAAUCGCAGAUCAGCAACGCUGCGGUGAGUACGUUCCCGGGGCU
rnacentral:rRNA from 1 species